UCCCCACCUCUUGUUCGCGUAUAAAAUUUCAUGCUAAUUUCAUGUCCUCUUGAAGGCAACAAGCUUCCCAGUUCCUCCUGCUGAACCUGACGACACUACCACCACCAGGCUUCACACUGAACAGGUGAACACAGUAGGGUAACUAACCAAUUACAGACAGACAGACAGACAGACAGGUGGAUACAGAAAGACAGAGGGACAGACAGACAGUACGAUUGACCCAGGUAGACAGACAGACAGAUAGAGAGAAAGACAAACACACAGAGAGAUAGGCAGAUAGAUAGACACAGACAGACAGAUAGAGAGACAAGCAGAUUUACCCAGAAAGACAGACGGACACAGAAAGACACAGACAGACAGACAUAUAGAGAGACUCCAAAUACAGAUAGACAGGCAGACAGAUAGACUCAGACAGACAGACCGAGAGACACAGACCGACAGAUGGAGAGAUAGACACAGAUACAGAGACACAGACAGAGAGACAUAUAGAGACAGAAAGACAGACUGAUACAAAGACAGACAGACAGAGUGACAGAGAUAAAGAAAGACAGAUAGACACAGAUAUAGAUACAUAGAUAGAUAGAUAGACAAAUUCAGAUAGACAAAAUAGAUGGACAGAUAGACAGACAGAUAGAGACAGACAGAUAUAAAGACAUUUUCAACAAAUACAGUCAUCUUUUAUAAAAAUAAAAAAAACACAAAAAUGAUUUUAAUACACUUUAAUGAUAUGGUGAAAAUGAAGUAUACAAUCAUACACCGAUAAAUGACUACAUUAAUGACAGAACACACACACACACACACACACACACACACACACACACACACAGAUAGCAUUCAGAAGUGUGUUUAGGUAUAAAAAGAUUGUGUAAUGUGCAGAAACGAUGAAUAAAUCAGUUCAAUGGUGAAUAAAUUCUGAACUGAAUGAAAUAUUAUACAAUAAAUACGCUACAGUGCCGUGUGUUUAAAACUUGAAUAAGUAAAUAUACCUCAGGUAGAUUUCAGACUCCAUAAUUUUAGCUUUACACAGUAGUUAGCAUGCUAAUGUCAAGCUAAUUUUUACAUCUUUACAUUAAUUACUGCAAUUAGCAAAGAUAUACUAUACAAGUUUUAUUCAAAUCCAAAAAGUUCCAUUUUAUUAAAUAAAGGAAAGGAAAUGAGCAUGAAAUCCUUCAGGACAGCUAGUUAGCUAGGCUCUGUUAACUCUGCUAGCAAAUUACUCAGCCAACAUGAUUAGCUUCACACAUGGUUGUGAUUCUGUAGGUUAAGCUAGCAUAUAUGUUAAAUCUAUUAUGUGGACACAAUGUAAAGACACAGUGAGAGUGAAAGUGACACAGAAACAUCCGGAACGUUAACGUUUACCUCAGAAGUGCUGGAAAAUUACAAAAAAAAAAAUUGUUAUACUAAAAUUACACUUAAAUUACACUUAGCGUCAACUGCUAAC
ensembl:lncRNA